rnacentral:rRNA from 1 species
AUUGAACGCUGGCGGCAUGCCUUACACAUGCAAGUCGAACGGUAACAGGUCUUCGGAUGCUGACGAGUGGCGGACGGGUGAGUAAUACAUCGGAACGUGCCUAGUUGUGGGGGAUAACUACUCGAAAGAGUGGCUAAUACCGCAUGAGAUCUACGGAUGAAAGCAGGGGAUCGCAAGACCUUGUGCUACUAGAGCGGCCGAUGGCAGAUUAGGUAGUUGGUGGGAUAAAAGCUUACCAAGCCGACGAUCUGUAGCUGGUCAGAGAGGACGAUCAGCCACACUGGGACUGAGACACGGCCCAGACUCCUACGGGAGGCAGCAGUGGGGAAUUUUGGACAAUGGGCGCAAGCCUGAUCCAGCAAUGCCGCGUGCAGGAUGAAGGCCUUCGGGUUGUAAACUGCUUUUGUACGGAACGAAAAGCCCCGGGUUAAUACCCUGGGGUCAUGACGGUACCGUAAGAAUAAGCACCGGCUAACUACUUGCCAGCAGCCGCCGUAA